rnacentral:rRNA from 1 species
UCCAGACUCCUACGGGAGGCAGCAGUGGGGGAUAUUGCACAAUGGGGGAAACCCUGAUGCAGCGACGCCGCGUGAGUGAAGAAGUAUUUCGGUAUGUAAAGCUCUAUCAGCAGGGAAGAAAAAAGACGGUACCUGACUAAGAAGCCCCGGCUAACUACGUGCCAGCAGCCGCGGUAAUACGUAGGGGGCAAGCGUUAUCCGGAUUUACUGGGUGUAAAGGGAGCGUAGACGGCAAUACAAGUCGGAAGUGAAAUACCCGGGCUCAACCUGGGAACUGCUUUGGAAACUGUAUGGCUGGAGUGCUGGAGAGGUAAGCGGAAUUCCUAGUGUAGCGGUGAAAUGCGUAGAUAUUAGGAGGAACACCAGUGGCGAAGGCGGCUUACUGGACAGUAACUGACGUUGAGGCUCGAAAGCGUGGGGAGCAAACAGGAUUAGAUACCCCGGUAAA